rnacentral:rRNA from 1 species
UUUUGCAUAUUCGUACUCUUGGGUGUACUUGCCCGUGUGGUUGGUUAACAUCAAUUUUGGUGGUCAUAAAAUGACUGGGGGAAUGUAGCUUCGAUCUUGUAUUGAAGUGUUAUAGCCUUCGGUAGAUGUGGUGAUCGAGAUUGAGGAUUGCAACGGAUACCUUUCGGGGCUACCUGUCUGAUCUCUGAUCGUUGCUUUGGUGCUGAAAGCGUGCUUAUAGUUAUCAAAGUCGAUGGUUAAUAGGUUAGAAUGGGUUAAAUUCGUUAAGGAUGUUGACGUA